GCUUAUUUCUCAGAGCAGUCAUCAGAGUCACUUCAAAGCUCCAACAGUUUCAUCCCCUGCUUUUACACUUGGGUCUAUAUAUUUUUUAAUGUGUCUGGUGACUCUUGGUUUAAAACGACAGACACUGUGGAAAAAAAGUACAAUCUCUGGAUGAUAUUGUGGCCAUCAGAGAGGACCCGCCCUGUCCUCUGCCACAAAGCAGGGACAGAUCACCAGUCAAGUCAUGACUGAGCUGUCUAGGACAGGCUGUAGACAUGGAAGUCCUGGGCUCAAUUUUGCUUCCCCCGAGCCAUAAUAGAGUGAAGUUUCACUGAACUCUUCAACCACUCAAUGCUCAGCCUCUUAGCUGAGGUGAACGUGACUCUCAUGUCGGGUGAGAAUUAGCCACUGCCUCAAGAGGAAAACCAGCACAGGAAGUCCGGCUCUCUUCUCAGAUCCUCUAUUCUCUGAAUAAUUUCCACCCCAAUCCUGGUGGUCCUGGCAGGGUUGAGAGCCAACGUCUAUCUCCUGAGACUUACAUCAUUAUAGGCAAGAAAGGGAAAUCCCCAUAUGCCAGAAAUGGAGUGGGAACCGCGAGCCAGGAC
rnacentral:lncRNA from 10 species